rnacentral:rRNA from 1 species
UAACGCGUGGGCAACCUGCCCCNUACAGGGGGAUAACAGCCGGAAACGGCUGCUAAAACCGCAUAAGCGCACAAGGGCCGCAUGGCCUGGUGUGAAAAACUCCGGUGGUAUGGGAUGGGCCCGCGUCUGAUUAGCUAGUUGGCGGGGGAGAGGCCCACCAAGGCGACGAUCAGUAGCCGACCUGAGAGGGUGGCCGGCCACAUUGGGACUGAGACACGGCCCAAACUCCUACGGGAGGCAGCAGUGGGGAAUAUUGCACAAUGGGGGAAACCCUGAUGCAGCGACGCCGCGUGAGCGAAGAAGUAUUUCGGUAUGUAAAGCUCUAUCAGCAGGGAAGAAAAAUGACGGUACCUGAGUAAGAAGCACCGGCUAAAUACGUGCCAGCAGCCGCGGUAAUACGUAGGGGGCAAGCGUUAUCCGGAUUUACUGGGUGUAAAGGGAGCGUAGACGGUAUGGCAAGUCUGAUGUGAAAACCCGGGGCUCAACCCCGGGACUGCAUUGGAAACUGUCGGACUAGAGUGUCGGAGAGGCAAGUGGAAUUCCUAGUGUAGCGGUGAAAUGCGUAGAUAUUAGGAGGAACACCAGUGGCGAAGGCGGCUUGCUGGACGAUGACUGACGUUGAGGCUCGAAAGCGUGGGGAGCAAACAGGAUUAGAUACCCUGGUAGU